CUAGCGUUGCUCGGAAUCACUGGGCGUAAAGCGCACGUAGGCGGGCUCUUAAGUCGGUGGUGAAAUCCUGGAGCUCAACUCCAGAACUGCCUCCGAUACUGAGAGUCUUCGAGUCCGGGAGAGGUGAGUGGAACUGCGAGUGUAGAGGUGAAAUUCGUAGAUAUUCGCAAGAACACCAGUGGCGAAGGCGGCUCACUGGCCCGGUACUGACGCUGAGGUGCGAAAGCGUGGGGAGCAAUCAGG
rnacentral:rRNA from 1 species